rnacentral:misc_RNA from 1 species
GUAGGUGAACCUGCGGAAGGAUCAUUAUAGUAUAUCUAUACCUAGGAUGUAGGGUACCAUAGGGUACUCUCCCCGCCAAAACCUUGCAAAUUUGAACUUAAUAGUUACCUUGGUAGGCUUAACUGCCUGUGGAUAAAUCUAAAUUCUUUAAUAAGCUGGCUGAAAUUAAUGUAAUAGUCUGAAAUAAUGUUAAUAUUAAAACUUUCAACAACGGAUCUCUUGGUUCUG